CUCUCGUCUUCCUUCGAGAGCUGCCUUGUCUGCACAUGCAGAAGCGCCAAGAGCGAGCGCCUCAUGUCUUUAUAUUGCUCUCACACCCUCCGUUUCUCGCUCCCACCCACUGCCACUGUACUUGUGUUGUGUUGUGUUGUGUGCUGCAAGAAGAAGAGGAGGAGGAAGAGCAUGUGCUGAGAAGCCUGCCAGCGCGCUUUACGACAAGCAUAUAUGGGGGAGAUCACCAAGCCUUUGCGAAGCAGAAGCUUCCGAAGAUGGCCUACGACUACUACGCGUCCGGCGCCGAGGAUGAGUGGACGCUGCAGGAGAACAUGGAGGCCUUCUCCAGGAUCUUGAGCAGCGGUUGAUGAGAUAAGAUUGCCAAGAAACGAAGUCUGAGGCUGGCUUCUUAUUCUUCACCUGGCUUCUUAAGUAGUAGCUUCUUAUUCUUAAGCACUUGCAAUAAGAAGCUACUACUUUAGAAGAUUGCCAAGAAGAGAAGUCUGAGGCUGUCGAGUACCAAAAGCUUCUUCCCAUAGGCUGAAGGAAUAGAGACCGCCACAAUGAGAGCUUGGCCAAGAGAAGAUCCAACCGCCAAGGCUUCCUCUGGCACCUCCGCUUAAGAAUGUUCAGUGCUUUUGAGAUGUUUUCAAGACCUAUCUUGUUACUGCUUAGGUACCUUAUGCUGCUAUAGCAGUGUUGCAAUUGCCCCUGUACUUGACAGAUUUGCAUUAGAUGCUCAAGCUAUAGAGGGUAGGUUCCUAAUUGUGACCAUGUACUAAAUUAUAUAUCUGUUGCUAAGUUAUAGUACAGACAAAAUAAAUUUAGCCUGGCCAACUUGUAUAAAAAUGUGUUAUUGUAACUAAGAAUAUCUGAAUUGCUCCUAUGUUACUUUCUAUAUUCAUUCUUGUAACUCCAUUUACUUCCA